rnacentral:rRNA from 1 species
CGAGCGGUAAGGCCUCUUCGGAGGUACACGAGCGGCGGACGGCUGAGUAACACGUAGGAACGUACCCCAAACUGAGGGAUAAGCACCAGAAAUGGUGUCUAAUACCGCAUGUGCUCUAAGGAGUAAAGCUUCGGCGGUUUGGGAACGGCCUGCGUCCGAUUAGCUUGUUGGUGAGGUAAUGGCUCACCAAGGCGACGAUCGGUAGCUGGUCUGAGAGGAUGAUCAGCCAGACUGGGACUGAGAACGGCCCAGACUCCUACGGGAGGCAGCAGUAGGGAAUUUUCCACAAUGGGCGAAAGCCUGAUGGAGCAACGCCGCGUGCAGGAUGAAUGCCUUCGGGUUGUAAACUGCUUUUAUCUGUGACGAAUAUGACGGUAGCAGAUGAAUAAGGAUCGGCUAACUCCGUGCCAGCAGCCGCGGUCAUACGGAGGAUCCAAGCGUUAUCCGGAAUUACUGGGCGUAAAGAGUUGCGUAGGUGGCACUGUGUGUCGAUAGUGAAAGCGUGUGGCUCAACCAUAUAUACAUUAUCGAAACUGCAGAGCUAGAGGACGAGAGAGGUUAUUGGAAUUCCCAGUGUAGGAGUGAAAUCCGUAGAUAUUGGGAGGAACACCGAUGGCGUAGGCAGAUAACUGGCUCGUUCCUGACACUAAGGCACGAAAGCGUG